AUUGAACGCUGGCGGCAGGCCUAACACAUGCAAGUCGAGCGAGCGGAGGACGGGUGAGUAAUGUAUGGGGACUGCCCGAUAGAGGGGGAUAACUACUGGAAACGGAGGCUAAUACCGCGUAAUGUCGGAUAACCCAUAUGUGAUUAGAGAGUAGGUAAGGUAAUGGCUUACCUAGGCGACGAUCCCUAGCUGGUCUGAGAGGAUGAUCAGCCACACUGGGACGGAGACACGGCCCAGACUCCUACGGAGGCAGCAGUGGGGAAUAUUGCACAAGUGGCGCAAGCCUGAUGCAGCCAUGCCGCGUGUAUGAAGAAGGCCCUAGGGUUGUAAAGUACUUUCAGUCGGGAGGCGUUACCGACAGAAGAAGCACCGGCUAACUCCGUGCCAGCAGCCGCGGUAAUUC
rnacentral:rRNA from 1 species